rnacentral:sRNA from 1 species
GCCGGAAGUGGGUGUCAGAACCUCCACGUGCUGUCCCCCCCCUCCCCUUUUCGGCCCAGUAGCGGCGGCUCAGCUGCUGCCAUGGAGCCAGCCGGCCUAGAGCAGCUCCUACGGGAGCUGCUGCUACCGGACACCGAGCGCAUCCGUCGGGUACGAAGCAGGCGUAACCGGGCCAGGGCGAGCGGGAGGUUGCGGGAAAGGCCCGACUCUCACCCCUAGCUUCCCCCCAGGCCACGGAACAGCUUCAGAUCGUUCUUCGGGCCCCCGCCGCUUUGCCGGCUCUCUGCGACCUGCUAGCCUCGGCGGCCGACCCCCAGAUCCGCCAGUUUGCGGCCGUGCUGACCCGCAGACGACUGAACACCCGCUGGCGACGGCUGGCGGCGGAGCAACGGGAGAGCCUCAAGUCCCUGAUCCUGACGGCCCUGCAGAGAGAAACAGAGCACUGUGUGAGCCUCAGCCUGGCCCAGCUCUCAGCCACCAUUUUUCGAAAGGAAGGCCUGGAGGCCUGGCCACAGCUUUUGCAGCUGCUUCAGCACAGUACCCACAGCCCCCACAGCCCAGAGAGAGAGAUGGGGCUUUUGCUGCUAAGUGUGGUGGUGACCUCCCGGCCCGAGGGCUUCCAACCCCACCACCGGGAGCUUCUUCGGCUUCUGAAUGAGACUCUUGGUGAGGUGGGCUCUCCUGGGCUGCUCUUCUACUCCCUGCGCACUCUGACCACCAUGGCCCCCUACCUCAGCACUGAAGAUGUGCCUCUCGCCCGGAUGUUGGUGCCCAAGCUGAUCAUGGCCGUGCAGACUCUGAUCCCCAUAGAUGAGGCAAAGGCCUGUGAGGCCCUUGAGGCUUUGGAUGAACUGUUGGAGUCAGAGGUGCCCGUCAUCACCCCCUACCUCUCUGAAGUCCUCACAUUCUGCCUGGAGGUGGCUAGAAAUGUGGCCCUGGGCAAUGCGAUACGCGUACGUAUUCUCUGCUGCCUCACUUUCUUGGUCAAAGUCAAGAGCAAGGCCUUACUGAAGAAUCGUCUCCUGCCACCCUUGCUGCACACCCUUUUCCCCAUUAUGGCUGCUGAGCCCCCACCAGGCCAGUUGGAUCCCGAGGACCAGGAUUCAGAAGAGGAAGAGUUGGAGAUUGAGCUGAUGGGGGAGACCCCCAAGCAUUUCGCUGUACAAGUUGUGGACAUGCUGGCACUACACCUGCCCCCCGAGAAGCUCUGUCCCCAGCUGAUGCCCAUGUUGGAAGAGGCCUUGCGGAGCGAGAGCCCAUACCAGCGCAAAGCUGGACUCCUGGUGCUGGCUGUGCUGUCUGACGGAGCUGGCGACCACAUCAGGCAGAGACUGCUGCCCCCACUGCUACAGAUAGUGUGCAAGGGCCUGGAGGACCCCUCGCAAGUUGUACGCAAUGCUGCGCUGUUUGCCCUGGGCCAGUUCUCAGAAAACCUACAGCCCCAUAUCAGCAGCUAUUCAAGGGAGGUGAUGCCACUGCUCCUCACCUACCUGAAGUCGGUGCCUCUUGGACACACACACCACCUAGCCAAGGCCUGCUAUGCCCUGGAGAAUUUUGUGGAGAACCUAGGGCCCAAAGUGCAGCCCUACCUUCCGGAGCUUAUGGAAUGCAUGCUCCAGCUUCUGAGGAACCCCAGCAGUCCCCGGGCCAAGGAGCUGGCUGUGAGCGCCCUGGGAGCCAUUGCUACGGCUGCCCAGGCCUCGCUGCUGCCCUACUUCCCUGCCAUCAUGGAACACCUGCGGGAAUUCCUGUUAACAGGCCGUGAGGACCUUCAGCCUGUGCAGAUCCAGAGCCUGGAGACACUGGGGGUGCUGGCACGAGCAGUGGGGGAGCCCAUGAGGCCGCUGGCUGAGGAAUGCUGCCAGCUGGGUCUGGGCCUCUGCAACCAGGUAGACGACCCUGACUUGCGGCGCUGCACUUACAGCCUAUUUGCAGCCUUAUCGGGUCUGAUGGGCGAGGGCAUGGCACCCCACUUGGAACAGAUCACCACGCUCAUGCUGCUGUCACUGCGUUCCACCGAGGGCAUUGUGCUUCAGUAUGACGGGAGCAGCUCCUUCCUUCUGUUUGACGAUGAGAGUGAUGGGGAAGAAGAGGAGGAGCUCAUGGAUGAGGAUGUGGAAGAAGAGGAUGACUCAGAGAUCUCAGGGUACAGCGUGGAGAACGCCUUCUUCGAUGAGAAGGAAGACACCUGUGCUGCCAUGGGGGAGAUCUCUGUGAACACCAGGUGAGCAUUUGCCCUUCCCUGGCACUGAAAACCCUGCCUGGGGGCCCCUUCCCCACGGCUGUGUCUCUCUCUCUAGUGUGGCCUUCCUUCCAUACAUGGAAAGUGUCUUUGAAGAAGUAUUUAAACUGCUGGAGUGCCCUCACCUGAAUGUGCGGAAGGCAGCCCAUGAGGCUCUGGGUCAGUUUUGCUGUGCACUGCACAAGGUCUGUCAAAGCUGCCCCUCGGAACCCAACACUGCUGGCUGCCCUGGCCCGAGUGGUGCCAUCCUACAUGCAGGCAGUGAACAGGGAGCGGGAGCGCCAGGUGGUGAUGGCCGUGCUGGAGGCCCUGACAGGGGUGCUCCGCAGCUGUGGGACCCUCACACUGAAGCCCCCUGGGCGCCUUGCUGAGCUCUGUAGCAUGCUCAAGGCUGUGCUGCAGAGGAAGACAGCCUGUCAGGAUACUGACGAGGAGGAAGAGGAAGAUGAUGAUCAGGCUGAAUACGACGCCAUGUUGCUGGAGCACGCUGGAGAGGCCAUCCCUGCCCUGGCAGCCGCGGCUGGGGGAGACUCCUUUGCCCCAUUCUUUGCUGGUUUCCUGCCAUUAUUGGUGUGCAAGACAAAACAGGGCUGCACAGUGGCAGAGAAGUCCUUUGCAGUGGGAACCUUGGCAGAGACUAUUCAGGGCCUGGGUGCCGCCUCAGCCCAGUUUGUGUCUCGGCUGCUCCCUGUGCUGUUGAGCACCGCCCGAGAGGCAGACCCCGAGGUGCGAAGCAAUGCCAUCUUUGGGAUGGGCGUGCUGGCAGAGCAUGGGGGCCACCCUGCCCAGGAACACUUCCCCAAGCUGCUGGGGCUCCUUUUUCCCCUCCUGGCGCGGGAGCGACAUGAUCGUGUCCGUGACAACAUCUGUGGGGCACUUGCCCGCCUGUUGAUGGCCAGUCCCACCAGGAAACCAGAGCCCCAGGUGAGGGAGGGAGACAUCAGGCAGGGCUUGGAAGCUGAGGAGGGCAGGGCAGGUUGGCCUGAGACAUUUGUGUGCCCAGGUGCUGGCUGCCCUACUGCAUGCCCUGCCACUGAAGGAGGACUUGGAGGAGUGGGUCACCAUUGGGCGCCUCUUCAGCUUCCUGUACCAGAGCAGCCCUGACCAGGUUAUAGAUGUGGCUCCUGAGCUUCUGCGUAUCUGCAGCCUCAUUCUGGCUGACAACAAGAUCCCACCAGACACCAAGGCCGCACUGUUGCUGCUCCUGACGUUCCUGGCCAAACAGCACGCCGACAGCUUCCAAGCAGCUCUGGGCUCACUGCCUGUUGACAAGGCUCAGGAGCUCCAGGCUGUACUGGGCCUCUCCUAGACUGCAGGCUGCAGCCAGUCCAGAGAGAAUAGAGCCUGCCCAGGCCUUAAGACCACCUCUCAGCCCAGUUCAGUUCUGCCUUACCAAAGAUUCUGAGACUCAUACCCAUUUGGAGCCAGUCCCACUUGCUGCCUUAC